rnacentral:lncRNA from 1 species
CCCGGAUGGAAGCUUACUGUUGAGGAGUAUUAUGAUCGGCAGAGUAAGCAUAUUUUGGAUACGAUUGUUGAGACUCUGUUGAAGGAUGAAAGGAGGAAGUUUAUUUGGGAAGAGAUGUCGUAUUUGGAGAGGUGAUGGCGGGAUGCUCCGGAUGCGAAAAAGGAGGCUUUGGUUCGGUUGCUGCAGAAUGGACAGUUGGAGAUAGUUGGUGGUGGUUGGGUGAUGAAUGAUGAGGCCAAUUCACAUUAUUUUGCCAUCAUUGAACAGGUACCGUUUUAUCAUUCAUACUAA